rnacentral:lncRNA from 1 species
GCAGCAACCACAGCACCGUUAGCAACCUCAGCCUCCUGACCGCUGACUCCGCCCCCCAGCCCCCAGCCAAUCAGCAGGCCUUUCCCAACGACUCCGGCAUCUCAUUGGGCGAGGGAGACCUGCUGGGCCGACUUCUCCUGGACAGGACGAGAGGAAAUCUGAACACGCCAAAUGGCAAACUGGACACAGACCAUCACUGACCAGUAGAGACCCCUCUCCCAUCAGCACCGAUCCCCCUCACACCAACACUGACCAGUACAGAACACCACUCCCACCAGCACAGAUCCCCUCACACCCACACUGACCAGUUCUGUACACCAGUCACACCAGCAGUCCCCGGUCAAGGAGAGGAGCCCGCUCCAACUCCAGCACAGAGCUGGACACAGCUGUUGUGGGCUAAUAAAGGACUGAACUGAGCCCGUGUUCACGUCGUUCUUCUGCGCCCAGGACACACUGACCACAGGACACGACACGUCAGAAUCAGCUUCCAGGUUUAUUGUAAUUAAUAAAACAAGCAGGAGCAACAGGGGUCUGUCCAGCUGAAGGGCAGCCAGGCCGAGUCAGACAGAGAGACAGGUCCAGUCUGGUCAGAGCUCGCUGUGCUUGUCGAACAGGUACUCCGCCAGCCCGUUCUGUGGGGCGCCCAUGCGACGCAGGUUGGAGAUCCAGUCGCUCAGCUCCUUGAUGGACUUCACCUGCUCGUCCAGGUAGUGAGUCUCCAGGAAGUCACACAUCUGGGGGGACAGAGGCAGGUGAGAGGUGAGACCCCAGGGUCAGGGGUCACUCGUGUGGAUCGGUGUGCUCAGAGGGUCAGGGGUCACUCGCGUACAGGUCAGUGUGCUCAGAGGGUCAAGGGUCAGAGGUCAGGGGACACUCA